UACGUAGGGUGCGAGCGUUAAUCGGAAUUACUGGGCGUAAAGCGAGCGCAGACGGUUACUUAAGCAGGAUGUGAAAUCCCCGGGCUUAACCUGGGAACUGCGUUCUGAACUGGGUGACUAGAGUGUGUCAGAGGGAGGUAGAAUUCCACGUGUAGCAGUGAAAUGCGUAGAGAUGUGGAGGAAUACCGAUGGCGAAGGCAGCCUCCUGGGAUGACACUGACGUUCAUGCUCGAAAGCGUGGGUAGCAAACAGG
rnacentral:rRNA from 1 species